CUAUCAAUUAGAUGCACUCUUCCAAAUGGUCCACACGCCUAAAAAUCAGGUCAGUCCCUGAUAUAGGUAGAGUUCCAGAUACGACUGAUUUCUGGGACAUCCCAUAACCUAGAGGGGACCCACCAAAUGCACGGUUUGAUGUCAAACUGUCUCCCGUCAUCAUCGUAGUCGUCUUUCACAGGCUCAAAAAAAAUAAAGCCCUUUGGCGAUCCAAAAGAGCUGUACUUCUACGCAAGAAAGAGAAAAACGACGGAUGAAUCUUACACUGUGGAAGGACGGGGGAUUUGGAGGGUGGAUUCAGGAGAUCAGAAAAUCUUCGACUCUCAAAGAGGAUUGGUUAUAGGCAUCAAGAAAAUUCUAGUUUUCGUGGAAGAGCUACCAUUGCAGCAGCCUAAGAAAAUGAAUUCGAUAAUCCAAGAAUCAAACUGGAUCAUGGAAGAAUACAGGCUUCCUCAGAAAAUGGCUGAAGAAGAAUGGGUCAUUUGCAAGAUCAAAGCUACAAACUCAAUCAAAGAAGAAGAAGAAGAAGAAGAAGAAACAAGUAAGGAUACAACCCAUAUCUUCAAAUGGUUGGACUAGUCUCUGGAUCUUUGUGAUGGACUACAUUGUUAAAAUUUGAAGGAUGGUCAUCCAAUCAGAAGCAGAGGACUAAAGAACAAGAGACAACUCAGAAGUACAUGAUUAAAGAAUAUGGGAUAGUUCGGAAAUAGAGGAUUAAAGAACACAAGACAAAUACCAGUAAAUCAUCAUCUUUUAAUAAGCAAAAUAAAAGGAUCCAACACUGAUAUUGAUUUUAUCUGUUUAUCUCCAAAGAAGUUUAUAUUUGAGAAAUUGCA